GGCGGCGGUAAAGGAAAGUCUGAGGUUGGGAGGAGACAGAGGGCAGUCAGCGGGGACUCCUCUACCCCUCGCCAAGUUCCCCUCCUGCUCCACCUCUAAGCCCCAACCCAAGAACUUCUCUCAGGGGUCCUGGAGGGCGCGGGAAGUAAAAGGGGCGCAGGACGCCCCGGGAGCACUGGGUCAGGAAAGGCCGGGGCUCGGCCAAGGAGUGGAUGCAUCUCCCAUUACACUUCGGAAAACGGACCCAGAGGGGAAAAUUCGUGCCCCACAUUCCCGCCUCCCACCCCCAGGCGGAGGACUUGGAACAGUCCCAGGAGCCCUGGCUUCCAGCCAUGAGCUCCACGAUGAGGUCCAGCCUCAUCCAGCUGUGCCAAGGGGAAGGGUUUCUGUCCAUGUUUGAACCAGUAAGAAGACAGGAAUCAGAAAGCACCCCAAGGGGAGACCCGUUUCAGUUAGACAAUAUAUUCCAGGAGGGCAGAAACCACGUGAUACUUCUUUUGUGUAACCGACACAAGCUGACACAAGCUGAGGAAAAAUAUUUCUAAUUCUCUCCACUGUCAAAAAUAAGAUAUCAGAUCCUGUCACAAAGUGUACUGGCUGAUUAAAAUCUAAGCCUACUUGCAAUUAACCAUUCUCUCUCCUCGCCCAGGGUUUUGUAGAUGUAGAUAUGGUUUAUUUCUUUCUUUUUUUUUUUU